GGCCCUGUAGCUCAGUUGGUUAGAGCAGCCGGCUCAUAACCGGUUGGUCGCAGGUUCGAGUCCUGCCGGGGCCA
rnacentral:tRNA from 1 species